UACGUAGGUGGCAAGCGUUGUCCGGAAUUAUUGGGCGUGAAGCGCGCGCAGGCGGUCCUUUAAGUCUGAUGUGAAAGCCCACGGCUCAACCGUGGAGGGUCAUUGGAAACUGGGGGACUUGAGUACAGAAGAGAAGAGUGGAAUUCCACGUGUAGCGGUGAAAUGCGUAGAGAUGUGGAGGAACACCAGUGGCGAAGGCGACUCUUUGGUCUGUAACUGACGCUGAGGCGCGAAAGCGUGGGGAGCAAACAGG
rnacentral:rRNA from 1 species